AUCUGUUCUUAUCAGUUUAAUAUCUGAUACGUCCUCUGUCCGAGGACAAUACAUUAAAUGGAUUUUUGGAGCUUGGAGUUGGAAUAGGAGCUUGCUCCGUCCACUCCACACAUCGACCUGAUAUUUCAGUAUUUCCAGGAACGGUGC
rnacentral:snRNA from 1 species